GUACAGAAAACAUACAAACCAAACAGACCCAACAGGGUUGGCAUUAGGGUUAGGAAUAGCUGUUCAAGCCUUCUCACUUUGCCCACCUUACCGCCUACCUUGUUUUUUCUGAGACACAAAAUCUCAAAUCAAGCCAUAUCCUCUCCCUUAGAUCGAACGUUCGUCUCUGGAUCGAAUCAACACACACAGGAAACGGCUUCUUGGGUGACCAAUUGAAAAAGGAGACACGAAAUCUACAUCAAGAGCUUACUUCUUGCCUCCUCUCCCUUAGAUCAAUCGAACGUUUCUCUGGAUCAAAUCAACACAGACACUAAACGGCUGAGAGAUAGAGCUCAGCAAUUGCUGCUGAAAACAAACGAUUCUUCAAGUAAGCAGUCCUAACAGAAAUUUUGCUGCAACAAUCUUCACAUUUCAAUGUUUCAAUUCAACUUUAUUGUUUACCCCAUUAUAAUUUAGGUUUUUCCAGAGAGUAGGGGUGGGAAUAGGCCAGACCGUUCGUAGGGGCCUAUGACCUAGCCUAGCACAUGUCCAGGUCAGGCCAAAUUGGUAAAUAAGCAAGGCUUAGGCUUUUUGAAAAGCCUAUUUAGUUAAAAAGGUCAGGCUGUAAGCCUUACAGGCUUGAUGUUUAUAUAUUAGAAAAUUAUCAUAAUAUAUUGAUAUUACAUACUUAUUGACAUUUUUAUAUAUUUAAGCAAAUUGACUUAUAUAAUGAUUCAAAGUUAUAAGUCUAUUUAGAAAUAGAUAUAUGACGUAUUUAAAUAUCUUAAUAUGAAGUGUGAUUCUAAAUUGGUUCUUUGACUAUAAAAAACCAACAUAAUCUCAUUUAGUUUCAUCUCUACCUAGUAGCUUAUAAUAUUAUAAGUCUGAUUGUUGAGAAAAUUAUUUUAGUAUAAUUUAACCCAUUAGCUUAUAAGUUAAUAACUUAUCGGUUCGGAUGGGUCGGUUGACGGGUUGGCGGUUGAAAAAAACAUACGCUUCCAUUUGGUUUAGUUCGGUAGAGUUCAAUUUAGGGUAUGAACCGACUGAACCAACUCUUAAACAAAACAAAAAAGUUACCAGCCCAACCCCACAACUCACACUAACUAACCCUAACCUACCAUAUAUAUUCAAAAUCUAUACUCUCUCAAAAACCCUAGUCUCCACCACUUCUCUGAUUCUCUCACUCAAGCCUCAUCCGCCACUCCACCACCUCUCUAAUUCGUUCACACAAGCCACCACCUCUCUCAAUCAAGCCUUAGUCGCCAAUUCACCACCUCUCUCACUCAAGCCUCAACCGCCAGCCCACCACCUCUUAAGCCUCAACCCUAGCCUCCAAGUCCAACCAUCGUGUAUCGCACCAAGUCCACACUACCACGGCUCCACCUCCUUCUCCUUCUGAGGUGGAGGAAGCGAUCUCGAUCGUCACGACAGAGAGGUUUCAUCGCAGCGAAAACGAUCUCGUCGCGGCGGAGGGGUUUCGUCGUCAUUUGCGGUGGUUCCCGACUUCCUUCGUUCUCUGUCCUCUUAACCCUUCUCUCAUCUGUUUUAGAACUUGGAAGCGUGUAAUGGUAGAUCUCGGCGUCGACGGUGAAGACGUUUUCGGAGGGAGGCCAUGCAGCACUAUUGUUGUGAAUAUUAGAAUCUAAUAUACAUAAAUUACUUGAUAAGUCAACAUAAAUGACAUUAUAACAUUACAGAUCUAUCUUCAGAAACGAAAGAAAUACCAAAUCAAUCAAGAUCUUCACAACAAUAGUGCUGCAUGGCCUCCCUCCGAAAACGUCUUCACCGUCGACGCCGAGAUCUACCAUUACACGCUUCCAAGUUCUAAAACAGAUGAGUGAAGGGUUAAGAGGACAGAGAACGAAGGAAGUCGGGAACCACCGCAAAUGACGACGAAACCCCUCCGCCGCGACGAGAUCGUUUUCGCUGCGAUGAAACCUCUCUGUCGUGACGAUCGAGAUCGCUUCCUCCACCUCAGAAGGAGAAGGAGGUGGAGCCGUGGUAGUGUGGACUUGGUGCGAUACACGAUGGUUGGACUUGGAGGCUAGGGUUGAGGCUUAAGAGGUGGUGGGCUGGCGGUUGAGGCUUGAGUGAGAGAGGUGGUGAAUUGGCGACUAAGGCUUGAUUGAGAGAGGUGGUGGCUUGUGUGAACGAAUUAGAGAGGUGGCGGAUGAGGCUUGAGUGAGAGAAGUGGUGGAGACUAGGGUUUUUGAGAGAGUAGAGAUUUUGAAUAUAUAUGGUAGGUGUUAGGGUUAAUUAGUGUGAGUUGUGGGGUUGGGCUGGUAACUUUUUUGUUUUGUUUAAGAGUCGGUUCAUACCCUAAAUUGAACUCUACCGAACUAAACCAAAUGGAAGCGUUUGUUUUUUUCAACCGUCAACCGACCCAUCGGAUUCCAGAAACCUUUUCUUUUUAGGAUUUGCGCUUGCAAUCCUAGUACGGCGACUUCUGCAGAAAUUGAUGUCAUUUCGAAGACAUUGGUGGAUGAAGAAGAGGUUUAUACUUGAUUUUGGUGCCAAUCUGAUUUUUCUUAAGAAGUCUAUUGUUAACGUCAUUAGGUUGAUUGGGCACAGCAAUUUGAAGGAACUAUUGAAAGCUCAGGUGGAAAGACCUGUUGAGGGAGAUAAUAAUGAAGAAGAUAAUUUUGUCACAAACAUGUUUAGUUGUUGCCUUGCAACUUUGAAGUGUCCUUGAAUAAACACAACAUUAGGACGGGAGGUGCCAUGCAGGAUGAAAAAACUUUUCUAAAGUAUUUAACUAAACCUUUAGGCUAUGUAUUUUAAUUAAAAGUGUAUCUGAUAACCCUGUUUGAGGUAAUUAAGGCAUGAGUGACACACCUAAUUCCCUUGAACAUGAUUAUCAUUUAGACUUGUAAUUGAUUUUUGUUGCCUAACCUUUUGGUGAAUCCUUUCAAGAAGUAUUAUCAUCUCGGAGCACGCCCCCUAUCCAAACGUUGAUUUUUUUAUGCCCCCUUAAUGUUAAGGCAAUUAACUAUGUUGGUUGUUUUUUUCCGGUUCACUUCCAAGUCUCCUCACUUUUUAUGAAUCAGAAUACCUUUUGGCAUUCAUUCAUGUGAUGAUGUGAUUUAUUAUGUCAACAAUGUAUUUAGUUUCACUCGAAACUAAACAGUUUCUUAAUGACUUUUUUCAUUGCAUAGAGUGCACAUUUGCAAAUGAGCUUUACAUUUCGUAUGUUCAUCUUUAGCUUCUCUAACGAUUUCCCAUGCUGAAAUCAAUGGGUUCAUAUGAGCCUUUUUUUUAUUAUUAAAAUCUCAGGUUCUAAGUGUUGCAAGCAGGCUGCUGGCCUAUCAUCCCCUUGGUUAAGUGAAAAUUGUUUUUCUUUUUUUACAGUGCAAAUUAGAAAAGAAAUCUUGAUCUACGUCCAAUAGCAAGUUCGUCCACCAUGUGGCUGAAAGCCUUUUAUACUAGGACGACUAGAGUGCAACAUGAAAAGAAUCAUUAAAAGAUAGGGUUAUCACAAAUUUUAUGCUAUGCUCUUCUUAGAAGAUGAAUCAUCUUGUUUACAAAAGGUAAAAGUUGUUCAUGGAAGGGGUCCUCUUAACAAGGAAUGCUUACAGUUCUUGCCCAAUUUAUAGCAAUGGUUAAUUGAUACCUAAUAUUAAUAUAAAAUAAUUAACUAGGUGAGUUCCUAGGAGGGCCUUUAAAUGUUUGCAUCAAAUUUUAAUUGUAUGUAAUGAUGAGCUGUGCAUAUAAAAUCACACUUCAUAUAAUUAGAAAACACAAUUUUGUAUUUCUUUGUAAUUUGAUUGAAGGUUUUGAACAAGCAAAGCACAGAUUUGUGUGUGGCAGGUCUGGGAAAUACAUGGAUCAGGGUCGAGGAUAUGGAUGUUGGUCACACUUCUCUGUUUUUUGUUUUUAUGUUUAAAGCUAUGACUUGGAAUGUAAGGUGACCCGUUGCACUGGGCUUUGCUUCAAUUAAAAGGGAUUUGAUUUCUAGACAUAAUCUGUCCUGUGUGGUGCUUUUUGAAACUAGAAUGAGGGGUUCUGAUGUGGUCAAUAUUGAAGUGUUGCCUGCUUGUAAGCAGAUGUUGCACACCAAGGUUUCUUGUCCGAAGGGAUCCUAUAUGGAGUGGUAUCGUUUGUGUAUGGGAGCCUGAAUGUCUUUACUAGAAGAGACUUGUGGGAGGAGCUCCGUGGUUUUGCAGGAGUGUUCUCUGGCCUGUGGAUAACUCUAGGAGAUUUUAAUGCCUACUUGGUAGCUUCUGAAAAAUGGGGAGGUGCUGGUCCAAAUAUGGUUGCUAUGCGUGAUUUCAAGUCUUGCCUUGAUCAUUGUAACCUGAUUGAUUUGAAUUUUAAGGGACUGCCCUUUACAUGGGAGUGGAAACAGCAUCUUGGGUGACCAAUUGAAAAAGGAGACACAAUCUCACAUCAAGAGCUUACUUCUUUCCUCCUCUCCCUUAGAUCAAUCGAACGUUUCUCUGUAUCAAAUCAACACAGACACGAAACGGUUUGUGACCAAUUAAUGAUUAUUCAAUAUUGUCCUGUUUUUUACUUUUAGCCUGACAGGUAGAGCACAAGUUGAGCAAUUGCUGCGAUACAUUAUUGAAGAACCACCGGAAGAUGCUGAAAACAAACGAGUCUUAAAAGAAAUUUGAGGAACUAGUGAAAGCUCAAGUGGCAAGACCUGUUGAGGGAGAUAAUUUUGGGCCAUGGAUGAUAGUUAAGAGGAAUUCAAGGCAGCCGGCGGGAAGUAUGAGGGAAGGUGCGGCUCGCUACCACAAAUUUGGUUUGGGAGGAGACCGCGGGCAGAGUUCAAGACCAAAUUUGAUGUGCUUGCAGAGGAGCCUUAGGUUCUUAAUGAGGAAGGUUGGGGAGCCUCUACAGGAAGGUGUGAACGCUCACAAGGAGUUGUAUUGAGGAGUUGGAAACCUGGAGAAAAGUAAUGAUUCAGUCACCAGAUAAUAAUGAUUUGAUCCUGAUUUGGAGCCUCUUGCAGGCAAACUCAUAGAUCUUCUAUACAUAUUUUUGGUAGAAACCUUUGAAACGGUCAACUCUAUUUCCAUGCCUCAAAUUGCGGGUCAUCCAUCUUUGCAGGUCCUUGUUAAGUUACCUGAAAGUAAAAAAAUAUUUUGUUGAGAUCCGUAGUUCUCUGUAUGGGCAUUAGAGCGCAUAGCUAGCUCUGUCAAGUAUAAUAAUGACCUAGUACUCUUGGUGGAGAAACUGGUACUGAGAAGACUACACUUGUUCAGAAUUGGCUUCCAUGCUUGGUCAAAAGAUUACUGUUUUGUGGUUUGUUGCCCAGAACUCAUGUCAACAAAGUGAUGUUGCUGACUUGCUAGCAACUCUGGGUCAUUUGGAGGUUCCAAAUACUCUUUCUCCUCGGCAUCCUUGUUAGAUUUUGCCAUCUUCCCGAGCCGGUCAACACUCUGAUUCCCCUCGCGGGGCACAAACUUGAACAAAAGGUUGUCAAGUUUAUAUAUUUUUUUGUAUGAUAGUAUCUUGAUUAGGGACCGGAUGUCCCAGUGAUUUUUGAAGAUCUUUGUCGUGGUUAAAGCAUCAGCCAAAUCCUUAUUGUCUAAAUAGACAAUGAGAUUUUUGCAACCCAAUUUGGCAACGGGCUCUUUCAGAACAUGGGGAAUUCCUUCUAUGAUGCAAUUCCGUUCAGCUAUGUAUGAUGAUUUCUGAUGGCUGCUCGUGUAUUUGCGGUUGCAACCGUACAGCCAAGUGCAGUUGCUGUCCCUGAAGAUGGAUCCUAGAUAUGACAGAUUAUUUUUCCAGUCAUGACCUCCAUCAGCAUUCAAUCCGAUAUAGCCCUUCGGGGGUAUUUCGAAUUGGACCAUCUCCCUGUAAAAUAGGAAAACAGUACAGAUUUGUAGAAGCAAUUCUAAUCAAUUAAAUGUUGUUGAUAGAAUAGGAAUAUGUAUCUAAUACUAAGGCAGUAUGAGCCUAAAAACAGUACAGAUUUGUAGAAGCAAUUCUAAUCAAUUAAAUGCUGUUGAUAGAAUAGGAAAACAGUACAGAUUUACUAAGCCGUGUUGAAAUUCACGAAACGAAUGUAAAGCACAGCUUAGCGGUGUUGAAAUUUAAGAUUGUAAACCACAGCUUAACUUUCAAGCGGUGGAAAAGUUGAAAUCAUGAA